GACGUAGGGCGCGAGCGUUGUCCGGAUUUAUUGGGCGUAAAGAGCUCGUAGGCGGUUUGUCGCGUCGUUCGUGAAAACUCACAGCUUAACUGUGAGCUUGCGGUCGAUACGGGCAGGCUAGAGUUCGGUAGGGGAGACUGGAAUUCCUGGUGUAGCGGUGAAAUGCGCAGAUAUCAGGAGGAACACCGGUGGCGAAGGCGGGUCUCUGGGCCGAUACUGACGCUGAGGAGCGAAAGCGUGGGGAGCGAACGGG
rnacentral:rRNA from 1 species